AUGCUUAUCUGGCAGAGGAGCUACUAUGAUCAUGAAGAUGUUUUCCCAGGGUGAAGCUUAUCCAUUGCACUCUGGAUUUGCUGCCCCCUUCAAUUUCCCCAAGGAAGGAAAGUUUGCCUGUGUAAUUUGUUGCAGAAGAGUACUGUGUUCCAUACUCCCAGC